CCUACGGGUGGCAGCAGUGAGGAAUAUUGGUCAAUGGACGCAAGUCUGAACCAGCCAUGUCGCGUGCAGGAAGACGGCUCUAUGAGUUGUAAACUGCUUUUGUACGAGGGUAAACGCAGACACGCGUAUCUUUUUGAAAGUAUCGUACGAAUAAGGAUCGGCUAACUCCGUGCCAGCAGCCGCGGUAAUACGGAGGAUUCAAGCGUUAUCCGGAUUUAUUGGGUUUAAAGGGUGCGUAGACGGUCGGAUAAGUUAGAGGUGAAAUCCCGAGGCUCAACUGUGGAAUUGCCAUUGAUACUGUUAGGCUAGAGAGUAGUUGAGGUAGGCGGAAGGUGUGGUGUAGCGGUGAAAUGCUUAGAGAUCAUACAGAACACCGAUUGCGAAGGCAGCUUACCAAGCUGCUACGGACGUUGAGGCACGAAAGCGUGGGGAGCAAACAGGAUUAGAUACCCGUGUAGUC
rnacentral:rRNA from 1 species